rnacentral:misc_RNA from 1 species
GAGCCAGUUUUAAGGGCCGCGUCGUAUCCUUCUUACUUCUUUUUUGCGCACUAAUCCUUCAUUUUUUAUGUUGUUUAUGGGACAAGAUUUACUUAAAUAAUAGGAAGAGAUUAAGUUGUUCAUUUUCUUUCAUAGCUCUUUGGGUGUGUUAGGUGAUUGGAAUAAAUGAGGUUAUGUUUUGAAAUACAGUGAGUGCUUAUUUAGCUACAUAUAACUAAAC